AACGAACGCUGGCGGCGUGCCUAACACAUGCAAGUCGAACGAGAAAGGGGCUUCGGCUCCGAGUAAAGUGGCGCACGGGUGAGUAACACGUGGGUAACCUGCCUCUAAGAUUGGGAUAACUCGUCGAAAGAUGAGCUAAUACCGAAUAAGACCACAGUUCCCGCGGGAACAGGGGUCAAAGGUAGCCUCUGCUUGCAAGCUAUCACUUAGAGAUGGGCCUGCGCACCAUUAGCUAGUUGGUAGGGUAACGGCCUACCAAGGCAAAGAUGGUUAGCUGGUCUGAGAGGAUGAUCAGCCACACUGGACCUGAGACACGGUCCAGACUCCUACGGGAGGCAGCAGUGGGGAAUAUUGCGGAAUGGGCGAAAGCUUGACGCAGCAACGCCGCGUGAGUGAUGAAGGCCUUCGGGUCGUAAAGCUCUGUCGGGAGGAACGAAUGCUCCUGAGGUUAACAGCCUCGGGAGGUGACGGUACCUUCAAAGGAGGCACCGGCUAACUCUG
rnacentral:rRNA from 1 species